UUAAAUAGCCGCAGUAUUUUGACUGUGCGAAGGUAGCAUAAUCAUUUGUCUUUUAAUUGAAGGCUUGUAUGAAAGGUUGGAUGAGGGAACAACUUUCUUUAUAUUAAAUAUUGAAUUUAAUUUUUAGGUUAAAAAGCUUAAAUUUUUAAAAGGGACGAGAAGACCCUAUAGAAUUUUAUUAUUAUUAUAAUAUUUGUAUAUUGGUUAUUAUAAUAUUGAUAUUAUAUAUAUAAUUUUGUUGGGGUGAUAGUGAGAUUUUUUUAACUCUUAUAAUUUAUUUAUUGUUAAUUAGCAUAUUUAUGAUCCUAUUUUAUGGAUAAUUAGAUUAAAUUACCUUAGGGAUAACAGCGUAAUUUUUCUGGAGAGUUCAUAUCGAUAGAAGAGUUUGCGACCUCGAUGUUGGAUUAAAAUUAAAUUUAAGUGCAGAAGCUUAAUGUUUAGGUCUGUUCGACCUUUGAAUUUUUACAUGAUCUGAGUUCAAACCG
rnacentral:rRNA from 1 species